rnacentral:rRNA from 1 species
CCUUCGGUUGAUCCUGCCGGACCCGACUGCUAUCAGAGUGGGACUAAGCCAUGCGAGUCGACGUAGCAAUGCGUGGCGAACGGCUCAGUAACACGUAGUCAACAUGCCCAGGGGACGUGGAUAACCUCGGGAAACUGAGAAUAAACCACGAUAGGUCACGAUUUCUGGAAUGGAUCAUGGCCUAAAUCUACAUGGCCCCUGGAUUGGACUGCGGCCGAUCAGGCUGUUGGUGAGGUAAUGGCCCACCAAACCUAUAACCGGUACGGGCUCUGAGAGGAGAAGCCCGGAGAUGGGCACUGAGACAAGGGCCCAGGCCCUAUGGGGCGCAGCAGGCGCGAAACCUCUGCAAUAGGCGAAAGCCUGACAGGGUUACUCUGAGUGAUUUCCGCUAAGGGGAUCUUUUGGCACCUCUAAAAAUGGUGCAGAAUAAGGGGUGGGCAAGUCUGGUGUCAGCCGCCGCGGUAAUACCAGCACCCCGAGUGGUCGGGACGAUUAUUGGGCCUAAAGCAUCCGUAGCCGGUUCUGCAAGUCUUCCGUUAAAUCCAGCCGCUCAACGGAUGGGCCGCGGAGGAUACUACAGGACUAGGAGGCGGGAGAGGCAAGCGGUACUCAGUGGGUAGGGGUAAAAUCCUUUGAUCCAUUGAAGACCACCAGUGGCGAAGGCGGCUUGCCAGAACGCGCUCGACGGUGAGGGAUGAAAGCUGGGGGAGCAAACCGGAUUAGAUACCCGGGUAGUCCCAGCUGUAAACGAUGCAGACUCGGUGAUGGGCUAGCCUUGUGCCAGCCCAGUGCCGCAGGGAAGCCGUUAAGUCUGCCGCCUGGGGAGUACGGUCGCAAGACUGAAACUUAAAGGAAUUGGCGGGGGAACA